GACGAACGCUGGCGGCGUGCUUAACACAUGCAAGUCGAACGGGCCUUGUCCCCUUUUUUUUUGGGGGUGGGGUUAGUGGCGAACGGGUGAGUAACACGUGAGUAACCUGCCCCUCGCUUCUGGAUAACCGCUUGAAAGGGUGGCUAAUACGGGGUGUUCUGGCCUGCUCGCAUGGGUGGGUUUGGAAAGAUUCGACCGGUUUUGGUUGUUUUGGUGGGGGAUGGGCUCGCGGCCUAUCAGCUUGUUGGUGGGGUGAUGGCCUGCCAAGGCUUUGACGGGGAGCCGGCCUGAGAGGGUGGGCGGUCACACUGGGACUGAGACACGGCCCAGACUCCUACGGGAGGCAGCAGUGGGGAAUAUUGCACAAUGGGCGCAAGCCUGAUGCAGCGACGCCGCGUGAGGGAUGGAGGCCGUCGGGUUGGGAACCUCUUUCGCCAGUGAAGAAGGUCCUGCUCUUUGUGGUGGGGUUGACGGUAGCUGGGUUAAUGAAGCGCCGGCUAACUACGUG
rnacentral:rRNA from 1 species